GGGAAUGGCAUAGUGGUUUGAGUGUUAGACUAAGGCUCUGGAGAACAGGGUUCGAUUCCCUGCUCAGCCCA
rnacentral:tRNA from 1 species